AGGACGAACGCUGGCGGCGUGCUUAACACAUGCAAGUCGAACGAGGUCCAGCCGGUAGCAAUACCGGCGAAGACCUAGUGGCGAACGGGUGAGUAACACGUGAGCAACCUGCCCCGAAGACUGGGAUAACAGCGGGAAACCGCUGCUAAUACCGGAUAUCCCCAUCGGACCACAUGGCCUGAUGAGGAAAUGGAUUCCGCUUCGGGAGGGGCUCGCGGCCUAUCAUGCUUGUUGGUGGGGUAACGGCCCACCAAGGCUUUGACGGGUAGCUGGUCUGAGAGGACGACCAGCCACACUGGGACUGAGACACGGCCCAGACACCUACGGGUGGCAGCAGUCGAGAAUUUUUUCUCAAUGGGGGAAACCCUGAAGGAGCGACGCCGCGUGGAGGAUGAAGGUCUUCGGAUUGUAAACUCCUGUCAUUGGGGAACAAGUCGCUUACGUUAACUGCGUGAGCGUUGAUAGUACCCGAAGAGGAAGAGACGGCUAACUCUGCGCCAGCAGCCGUA
rnacentral:rRNA from 1 species